AUGGGUGCCUACGCUGCGGGGAGCUGCCGCGAUAAGUUCACAACCGUCUACACCUUGGUGCUAAUGGCCACUGGGAUCCUCACCUACUUCAUAGUCCAGGCGGUGGUGGCGCGGCGUGCAAAGUUUCCUCCUCUUCCAGCAGACCCAGACAAGAACAAGGUCCAACUCGAAGAGCGGCUCCGCAAGGUGCUGAUGCUGCUCACAACGUUCGUGUUAAGCAUCACGUACGAGUCUGGGCUGAACUCACCGGGCGGUUUCUGGGACAACACCGGGGGCGGGCACCGCGCGGGAGACUCGAUUCUCAGCGAUGGUCACCACAAGGCACGCCUGGUCACCUUCUUCAUCUGCAACUCCACAGCGUUCAUGGCAUCACUGCUAAUCAUCAUGCUGCUCCUGAGCAGAAAGCUUCACCAGCAGACGGCACGGUCUCGCGAGAUGUAUGGGUGCAUCCUAGUCGCGCUGGCCGGCCUUGUCGGGGCAUACGCUGCAGGCAGCUGCAGGGAGGAUGGCGCUACUGCCUAUGUGCUCAUUGUGGUUGCUGCCAGUCUAGCAUGCAUUCUAGUCAAAUCUUGGUUGUGGCCUCAAGAUAAUUACAGGCAGCGGGUUUCAACAGAGAUUGAGAUUUCAGGUGUGGAGCUUCAGCAGAGUCACAAGUCUCUCUCGCUUCUUCUACUAAUGUCCACCUUUGCGACGGCUAUCACUUACCAAGCAGGGCUUGAUCCGCCCGGUGGCGUUUGGCAGGAAAACGGUAACGGUCGCCUCGCCGGCGACCCGAUCCUCUUGUCGAUGAAUGCUAGCCGGUACAGGACCUUCUUGUACUGCAAUUCAUUUGCGUUCAUGCUCUCCUUGGUCACCAUCAUCAUGUUCCUGUCCAAGUUUGUCAGGGGCCUAGGGGCACACAAGGUGGAGGCAGUUAUGAUGCUGGAAUUGUUCGGCCUCAUCGGCGCAUACACUGCUGGGGUCAGCAAGAAUGUAAUCACGUCCAUCUAUGUCCUGGCUUUGGGCGGCGCCGUCAUAUUCUACGUUGUGAUCCAUGUUAUCUUCUUCACACUCGAAAAAGAGGCCAUCAAUUUUUAUGUGGAGCAAGAGGAGGUGGAGAAGAAGCGCAAGCUGCUUUACCUCUUGGCAACCUUGUCGACAGCUAUGAGUUACCAUGCCGGGUUGAACCCUCCAGGUGGCUACCGUGUCCAGGAUGACGAUGAGUCUGGGUAUCAGGCAGGCAGCCCGGUCGUCCUGCCCAACUUCCCGCGGCGCUACAGUGCCUUCUUGUUCUGCAGCUCAUUAAGCUUCAUGCUUUCGGUCAGCACCAUGAUUCUCCUGGUGAGCCCGGUGCUGUACAGGCCAGCCAUACGAAGCUACGCACUAACCCUUUGCACGGCUGUGGGGUCGUCUGUUCUGAUGGGUGCCUAUGUCGUUGGGAGCACACAAUAUGUGAAAACAUACGUUAUGAUUGUAGCUGGGCUGCUGGUAACAUUCUUGGUCAGGGAUACUAAGCAGAGAUUGAGCAGGCUGAUGAGGGUAGAAGCACACGAAGAGGACCCCAUCAUGAUAAAUGCCCAGGAAGGGGAGCUCGUAUUUAAACGAGCAAAGAAAAAGCAACACGCCGAGCACAAACACCUGAUGUUGCUAGGAAUCCUGGUGGUACCAGGCCGGCCUAGAUCCGCCAGGCGGAGUUUGGCAGAGCGACGAAGGCGGGCACGACCCAGGUGGGCCGGCCAUGAAGGACAAUAG
rnacentral:rRNA from 1 species